rnacentral:rRNA from 1 species
CAAUAGCGUAUAUUAAAGUUGUUGCGGUAAAAAAGCUCGUAGUUGGAUUUCUACCGAAGAUAGCCGGUCGGGUCUUCGACCUUGUAACUGGUUUUGUCUUUGGUAUCCUCAUAGGGAACGUUUCUGCGCUUUAUUGCGUGGUGCGGUAUCUAUGACUUUUACUUUGAGGAAAUUAGAGUGUUCACGGCAGGCAAACGCCUUGAAUAUAUUAGCAUGGAAUAAUAACAUAGGAUCUUCGUCCUAUUUUGUUGGUUUCUAGGGCUAAGAUAAUGAUUAAUAGGGAUAAUUGGGGGCAUCUGUAUCAACGCGUCAGAGGUGGAAUUCUUGGAUUGCGUUGCGACAAACUACUGCGAAAGCAUUUGCCAAGGAUGUUUUCAUUGA